rnacentral:sRNA from 2 species
ACGGAACCGCCGCCUAAUCGCCGAGAGGCGAGCCGGGGACCCAUCCGGUAAUGGGGUGAAUCCAUUGAGUAAUUCAGUGGUAGGGAUCACUUCCGUCCCGAACCCGUCAGCUAACCCGACCGGCGGCCGACGGAAGGAACG